UCAAACUUGGUCAUUUAGAGGAAGUAAAAGUCGUAACAAGGUUUCCGUAGGUGAACCUGCGGAAGGAUCAUUAUUGAAAAGCUUUGGAGUUACUGAUGCUGGCUCUUUAACGAGGGCAUGUGCACGUAUCUCUAAUCCUAUUCAUCCACCUGUGCACUUUUUGUAGAGGUUCUUGAGAUUUGGCUUAUAGGUUUACGACCUUGUAGCUAAUUUGAAAGGCUUCUAUGUUUUUACAAACCCAUUAAAGCAUGUUUAGAAUGUUCUUUUUACUGGGACUUCAUUGACCCUUUAAAAAUCUAUACAACUUUCAGCAACGGAUCUCUUGGCUCUCCCAUCGAUGAAGAACGCAGC
rnacentral:misc_RNA from 1 species